rnacentral:rRNA from 1 species
GCUACACAUGCAGUCGAGCGCGAAAGGCUUUCGGGCUGAGUAGAGCGGCGGACGGGUGAGUAACGCGUAGGAAUCUACCUGGUAGUGGGGGACAACUUGGGGAAACUCAAGCUAAUACCGCAUACGCCCUAAGGGGGAAAGCGGGGGACCUUCGGGCCUCGCGCUAUCAGAUGAGCCUGCGUAGGAUUAGCUUGUUGGUGAGGUAGAGGCUCACCAAGGCGACGAUCCUUAGCUGGUCUGAGAGGAUGAUCAGCCACACUGGGACUGAGACACGGCCCAGACUCCUACGGGAGGCAGCAGUGGGGAAUAUUGCGCAAUGGGGGCAACCCUGACGCAGCCAUGCCGCGUGUGUGAAGAAGGCCUUCGGGUUGUAAAGCACUUUAAGUGGGGAGAAAAGGGUAGCUGUUAAUAGCGGUUACCUGUGAUGUUACCCACAGAAUAAGCACCGGCUAACUCCGUGCCAGCAGCCGCGGUAAUACGGAGGGUGCGAGCGUUAAUCGGAAUUACUGGGCGUAAAGCGCGCGUAGGCGGUUUGUUAAGUCAGCUGUGAAAGCCCUGGGCUCAACCUGGGAACUGCAGUUGAUACUGGCCGACUAGAGUACGAGAGAGGGAGGUAGAAUUCCAUGUGUAGCGGUGAAAUGCGUAGAUAUAUGGAGGAAUACCAGUGGCGAAGGCGGCCUCCUGGCUCGAUACUGACGCUGAGGUGCGAAAGCGUGGGGAUCAAACAGGAUUAGAUACCCUGGUAGUCCACGC